CAGAGACGAAAAAGACGAAAAAGAUGAAAAAGAUGAAAAAGAUGAAAAAGAUGAAAAAGAUGAAAAAGACCAUGUUUUA
rnacentral:ribozyme from 1 species